UGCUGGAGGUAUCAGAAGUGCGAAUGCUGACAUAAGUAACGAUAAAGCGGGUGAAAAGCCCGCUCGCCGGAAGACCAAGGGUUCCUGUCCAACGUUAAUCGGGGCAGGGUGAGUCGACCCCUAAGGCGAGGCCGAAAGGCGUAGUCGAUGGGAAACGGGUUAAUAUUCCCGUACUUGGUGUUACUGCGAAGGGGGGACGGAGAAGGCUAUGUUGGCCGGGCGACGGUUGUCCCGGUUUAAGCGUGUAGGUGUGUGUUCCAGGUAAAUCCGGUUCACUUUAACACUGAGGCGUGACGACGAGGCACCACGGUGCUGAAGCAACAAAUGCCCUGCUUCCAGGAAAAGCCUCUAAGCCUCAGGUAACAUCAAAUCGUACCCCAAACCGACACAGGUGGUCAGGUAGAGAAUACCAAGGCGCUUGAGAGAACUCGGGUGAAGGAACUAGGCAAAAUGGUGCCGUAACUUCGGGAGAAGGCACGCUGACAGGUAGGUGAAGUGGUUUACCCAUGGAGCUGAAGUCAGUCGAAGAUACCAGCUGGCUGCAACUGUUUAUUAAAAACACAGCACUGUGCAAACACGAAAGUGGACGUAUACGGUGUGACGCCUGCCCGGUGCCGGAAGGUUAAUUGAUGGGGUCAGCGCAAGCGAAGCUCCUGAUCGAAGCCCCGGUAAACGGCGGCCGUAACUAUAACGGUCCUAAGGUAGCGAAAUUCCUUGUCGGGUAAGUUCCGACCUGCACGAAUGGCGUAAUGAUGGCCAGGCUGUCUCCACCCGGGACUCAGUGAAAUUGAACUCGCUGUGAAGAUGCAGUGUACCCGCGGCAAGACGGAAAGACCCCGUGAACCUUUACUAUAGCUUGACACUGAACACUGGUCCUUGAUGUGCAGGAUAGGUGGGAGGCUUUGAAGUGUGGACGCCAGUCUGCAUGGAGCCAUCCUUGAAAUACCACCCUUUAAUGGCUGGUGUUCUAACGUGGGCCCGUGAACCGGGUUGCGGACAGUGUCUGGUGGGUAGUUUGACUGGGGCGGUCUCCUCCUAAAGAGUAACGGAGGAGCACGAAGGUUGGCUAAUCCUGGUCGGACAUCAGGAGGUUAGUGCAAUGGCAUAAGCCAGCUUGACUGCGAGCGUGACGGCGCGAGCAGGUGCGAAAGCAGGUCAUAGUGAUCCGGUGGUUCUGAAUGGAAGGGCCAUCGCUCAACGGAUAAAAGGUACUCCGGGGAUAACAGGCUGAUACCGCCCAAGAGUUCAUAUCGACGGCGGUGUUUGGCACCUCGAUGUCGGCUCAUCACAUCCUGGGGCUGAAGUAGGUCCCAAGGGUAUGGCUGUUCGCCAUUUAAAGUGGUACGCGAGCUGGGUUUAGAACGUCGUGAGACAGUUCGGUCCCUAUCUGCCGUGGGCGCUGGAAGAUUGAGGGGGGCUGCUCCUAGUACGAGAGGACCGGAGUGGACGCAUCACUGGUGUUCGGGUUGUCAUGCCAAUGGCACUGCCCGGUAGCUACAUGCGGAAGAGAUAAGUGCUGAAAGCAUCUAAGCACGAAACUUGCCCCGAGAUGAAUCUUCCCUGAGCCUUUAAGGCUCCUGAAGGAACGUUGA
rnacentral:rRNA from 1 species